ACUCCUGACUGACCGAUAGUGAACCAGUACCGUGAGGGAAAGGCGAAAAGAACCCCGGCGAGGGGAGUGAAAAAGAACCUGAAACCGUGUACGUACAAGCAGUGGGAGCACGCUUAGGCGUGUGACUGCGUACCUUUUGUAUAAUGGGUCAGCGACUUAUAUUCUGUAGCAAGGUUAACCGAAUAGGGGAGCCGAAGGGAAACCGAGUCUUAACUGGGCGUUAAGUUGCAGGGUAUAGACCCGAAACCCGGUGAUCUAGCCAUGGGCAGGUUGAAGGUUGGGUAACACUAACUGGAGGACCGAACCGACUAAUGUUGAAAAAUUAGCGGAUGACUUGUGGCUGGGGGUGAAAGGCCAAUCAAACCGGGAGAUAGCUGGUUCUCCCCGAAAGCUAUUUAGGUAGCGCCUCGUGAAUUCAUCUCCGGGGGUAGAGCACUGUUUCGGCAAGGGGGUCAUCCCGACUUACCAACCCGAUGCAAACUGCGAAUACCGGAGAAUGUUAUCACGGGAGACACACGGCGGGUGCUAACGUCCGUCGUGAAGAGGGAAACAACCCAGACCGCCAGCUAAGGUCCCAAAGUCAUGGUUAAGUGGGAAACGAUGUGGGAAGGCCCAGACAGCCAGGAUGUUGGCUUAGAAGCAGCCAUCAUUUAAAGAAAGCGUAAUAGCUCACUGGUCGAGUCGGCCUGCGCGGAAGAUGUAACGGGGCUAAACCAUGCACCGAAGCUGCGGCAGCGACGCUUAUGCGUUGUUGGGUAGGGGAGCGUUCUGUAAGCCUGCGAAGGUGUGCUGUGAGGCAUGCUGGAGGUAUCAGAAGUGCGAAUGCUGACAUAAGUAACGAUAAAGCGGGUGAAAAGCCCGCUCGCCGGAAGACCAAGGGUUCCUGUCCAACGUUAAUCGGGGCAGGGUGAGUCGACCCCUAAGGCGAGGCCGAAAGGCGUAGUCGAUGGGAAACAG
rnacentral:rRNA from 1 species